UACGUAGGGUCCAAGCGUUAUCCGGAAUCACUGGGCGUAAAGCGUGCGUAGGUGGAUAGAUAAGUGUGACAUUAAAUCCUGUGGCUCAACCAUAUGGCUGUGUUGCAUACUGUUUAUCUAGAGGACAUGAGAGGCAAGUGGAAUUACUGGUGUAGCAGUGAAAUGCGUAGAUAUCAGUAGGAACACCAAUGGCGAAGGCAGCUUGCUGGCAUGUAUCUGACGCUAAGGCACGAAAGCGUGGGGAGCGAACAGG
rnacentral:rRNA from 1 species